rnacentral:rRNA from 1 species
GAUGAACGCUGGCGGCGUGCCUAAUACAUGCAAGUCGAGCGAACGGACGAGAAGCUUGCUUCUCUGAUGUUAGCGGCGGACGGGUGAGUAACACGUGGAUAACCUACCUAUAAGACUGGGAUAACUUCGUGAAACCGGAGCUAAUACCGGAUAAUAUUUUGAACCGCAUGGUUCAAAAGUGAAAGACGGUCUUGCUGUCAUUUAUAGAUGGAUCCGCGCUGCAUUAGCUAGUUGGUAAGGUAACGGCUUACCAAGGCAACGAUGCAUAGCCGCCCUGAGAGGAUGAUCGGCCACACUGGAACUGAGACACGGUCCAGAAUCCUACGGGAGGCAGCAGUAGGGAAUCUUCCGCAAUGGGCGAAAGCCUGACGGAGCAACGCCGCGUGAGUGAUGAAGGUCUUCGGAUCGUAAAACUCUGUUAUUAGGGAAGAACAUAUGUGUAAGUAACUGUGCACAUCUUGACGGUACCUAAUCAGAAAGCCACGGCUAACUACGUG